rnacentral:rRNA from 1 species
AUUGAACGCUGGCGGCAGGCCUAACACAUGCAAGUCGAGCGGAGCGGCGGACGGGUGAGUAAUGCCUCGGAAUCUGCCUGGUAGUGGGGGAUAACGUCCGGAAACGGGCGCUAAUACCGCAUACCAAUCAAUGCAGCCUGGUCGGAAUAGCGAGUUGGUGGGGUAAAGGCCUAACAAGGCGACGAUCCGAAACUGGUAUGAGAGGAUGAUCAGUCACACUGGAACGGAGACACGGUCCAGACUCCUACGGGAGGCAGCAGUGGGGAAUAUUGGACAAUGGGCGAAAGCCUGAUCCAGCCAUGCCGCGUGUGUGAAGAAGGUCUUCGGAUUGUAAAGCACUUUAAGUUGGGAGGCGUUACCAACAGAAUAAGCACCGGCUAACUUCGUGCCAGCAGCCGCGGUAAUUC